GCCCGGGUGGCUCAGUCGGUUAAGCAUCUGACUUCAGCUUAGGUCAUGAUCUCACAGUUCGUGGGUUCGAGCCUCACCUUGGGCU
rnacentral:tRNA from 1 species